CAUAUAGUCCCUCCGUCUCAAAAUUCUUGUCUUAAAUUUGGCGAAAUACAGAUAUAUCAAGUUAUAUUUUUGUAUUAGAUACAUUCGUAUAUAGACAAAUAUAAGACAAGAAUUUUGGGACGGAUGGAGUACUAA
rfam:Triticum aestivum genome assembly, contig: Triticum_aestivum_CS42_TGACv1_scaffold_249214_3DL